CUUUUUCUCCGCUAUGGUCAAAGUUAAUACACUAAUAUCAAACUAAAUAAUAGCUGAACCAAGUUUCAUUUAAGUGUCUGUUUAUGUCAAGGUUCUUCAAA